GUGCUUCCUUUGGCAACACAUAUCCUAAAAUUGGAACAAUACAGAGAAGAUUAGCACAAGGACGACAUGCAAAUUCAUGGAGCAUUCUAUAUUUCU
rnacentral:snRNA from 1 species